rnacentral:rRNA from 1 species
CAUACCCUACGGGGCGCAGCAGUGGGGGAUAUUGGACAAUGGGGGGAACCCUGAUCCAGCGACGCCGCGUGAGUGAAGAAGUAUUUCGGUAUGUAAAGCUCUGUCAGCAGGGAAGAAAGCAAUGACGGUACCUGACCAAGAAGCCCCGGCUAACUACGUGCCAGCAGCCGCGGUAAUACGUAGGGGGCAGGCGUUAUCCGGAUUUACUGGGUGUAAAGGGAGCGUAGACGGUGCAGCAAGUCUGAUGUGAAAGGUCGGGGCCCAACCCCGGGACUGCAUUGGAAACUGUUGAACUGGAGUACAGG